AUUGAACGCUGGCGGCAGGCCUAACACAUGCAAGUCGAACGAGUGGAGGACGGGUGAGUAAGGUCUGGGAAACUGCCCGAUGGAGGGGGAUAACUACUGGAAACGGUAGCUAAUACCGCAUACCAUCGGAGGAGCCCAGAUGUGAUUAGCUAGUAGGUGGUGUAACGGCUCACUUCAGAGAAGAUCCCUAGCGGGUCUGAGAGGUAGACCAGCCACACUGGAACUGAGACACGGGCCAGACUCCUACGGGAGGGAGCAGUGGGGAAUAUUGCACGAUGGGCGCAAGCCUGAUGCAGCCAUGCCGCGUGGAUGAAGAAGGCCUGCGGGGUGUAAAGUACUUUCUGCGAGGAGGCGUGACUCGCAGAAGAAGCACCGGCUAACUCCGUGCCAGCAGCCGCGGGAUAC
rnacentral:rRNA from 1 species